GGUGAGAACAGAACACGGCGCAGGUGAGAACAGAACACGGCGCAGGUGAGAACAGAACACGGCGCAGGUCAGAACAGAACACGGCGCAGGUCAGAACAGAACACGGCGCAGGUCAGAACAGAACAUGGCACGGCGCAGGUGAGAACAGAACACGGCGCAGGUCAGAACAGAACACGGCGCAGGUGAGAACAGAACACGGCGCAGGUGAGAACAGAACACGGCGCAGGUCAGAACAGAACACGGCGCAGGUCAGAACAGAACACGGCGCAGGUCAGAACAGAACACGGCGCAGGUCAGAACAGAACAGAACACGGCUCAGGUCAGAACAGAACAUGGCUCAGUAGAACACGGCGCAGGUCAGAACAGAACACGCCGCAGGUCAGAACAGAACACGGCGCAGAACAGAACAGAACACGGAGCAGGUCAGAACACGGUACAGGUCAGAACAGAACAGAACACGGAGCAGGUCAGAACAGAACAAGGCUCAGUAGAACACGGCGCAAGGUCAGAACUGUACACGGCACUCCUAUAAUCUCAAAUGUUCCGUUUAUUAGUCAUGUACUGAUUCACUUGUUUUGAAGUCCUACUCUUUCCUCUUGACCUCAGCUGUGCUAGGGGAAAUCAUAACAUUUACCCCAUAUUGAUAUUUUCUAUGAUCUGUUAAAGCAGUGGGCGUAUAUCUCCACCACAGGAGGCUUGUGGUAAUGGCUGGAGUGGAAUCACUGGAAUGGUAUCAAACACAUGGUUUCUAUGCAUUUGAUGCCAUUCCAUUUGCUCUGUUCCAGACAUUAUUAUGAGUUGUCCUCCCCUCAGCAUCCUCCACUGAUCUCCAUAGUUCUGAUGCAGUGUUGUCUUUCCUC